AGGCUCCCCACCAAGCAGAGAGCCUGAUGCGGGGCUCGAUCCCAGGACCCUGGGAUCAUGACCUGAGCCAAAGACAGAGGCUUUAACCCACUGAGCCACCCAGGCGCCCCUGGACAGUUUCUAUUGAGGUGCCUACAAGACAAGCCGGUGAAGACGGAUGGGUCUCGUGGACUCAGAAGACCAUCGGGGUGGAGAUAACAUACUGGCAAGUCAGCAGCAAAAAGAAGGUGUCAGAGACUUCGCCAGGUAACCCCGGGGGAACCAGAAAAUCUGGAUGGGAAAUAGAGGAGUUCCCAAGACAGAACCAGCCUUGCAUAUCUGAAAGGGCAUUAAGGAGCCAGCCACCGGGACUGAGAAUUACCUGCCAUGGAGGAAGGUGGGAAACCAAGCACGUGGUGUCCCGGAAGCCAAGAGAGAAAAGUUUCGGGGAAGGAGGGGGAUCAGUUACGUCACAUGCUGUUGAAAGGUACAGUAUUAUGGGGACAGAGGACCGUCCACUGGAUUCUGCCAUGGUGACAACCCUGAACAGAAGUGUUCCAGCAGAGCAGCGAGGACAGAAGCCCUGUUGGGAGCGAGUGUGGGCAUGGGCUCCUGGAAAGUCAGGCAGAUGAGCGAACUAGUCCUGAAUUUUGCCACUGCAUGACUUCUGGUGCCUGGGUCACCUUUUUUGUUGUCCCUUCCCCUCCACAGUGUGAUGUCCAUCACCGUGUCGGACAAGUUUCCUUCAUUAGCCAGUCCCCAGGUGCCCCCAAUCUCUCCACUGUAAAUGCACCUGUUUGCAGCGAUGUCAUGUCACAAAGUGGAGAAGUCUUGCUGGAUGAAUUCUACUUGUUUCCAAAGGCACAGAAAUGGACCGAUCUUAGCCCGAAGCAGGGGUUUUUCACAAACACGCGCUGAAUGUCGGAAUCAGUGAUUGCUGGGUUGGAGAAACCCUGGAUUUUGCCAGAAUGCUCCUGCUCCAGACCCAAGCCUGCAGGGAGCCGGGAAUGGAAUCCGAAACAUGUGACGCGGCAGGUCCUGAUGCAGGGGUCAGACCUACUAGCCAUGUGAUCUCAGCUGGGCUAGGAGUGGUGCCAGUUAGGUCUGGAAAAAGUAGGACGUUGGUGGCAG